GUGCCAGCAGCCGCGGUAAUACAGAGGGUGCAAGCGUUGUUCGGAAUUAUUGGGCGUAAAGCGCGUGUAGGCGGCGACGCAUGUCGGGUGUGAAAGCCCUCGGCUUAACCGAGGAAGUGCGCCCGAAACUGCGUUGCUCGAGUGCUGGAGAGGGUAGCGGAAUUCCCGGUGUAGAGGUGAAAUUCGUAGAUAUCGGGAGGAACACCAGUGGCGAAGGCGGCUACCUGGACGGACACUGACGCUGAGACGCGA
rnacentral:rRNA from 1 species